rnacentral:lncRNA from 1 species
GGGGUUCUUUGAAAUGGAACUUGUUUUCCCUAAAAUUGUGUGAUGAUGUUGUUAAAACCUUACCGGUUAUUGACUGUUUUUAUUUUAUAUUUCUUGUACAACUUUGUGUAAACAUUGUUAACUUUUUAUUAUUCUUAACGUCCAUGUUUUGAAUUUAUAUUCGGAACUCCCCUCGAUUGUUCAUGUCAAAUGAAGUACAUAAACGUUUACCAAUCGUUCCGAACAUUAUUUUGGUAAUUACCAAUUCCGGUUUUGGUAGUUUAGGUAUUUUUCACCACUGGUAAAUGGUAAAAAUGGUAAGCCGAAAUUCGGUAAAUGGUAAACCAUUUUGGUAAAUGGUUUACCGAAGUAUAAAUACGGUGGAGAAAACCGAAAAGGCUUCAGUACGACUUUACCCUGGGCAAGUGAC